rnacentral:rRNA from 1 species
UAAGGAAUAUUGGGCAAUGGACGCAAGUCUGACCCAGCCAUGCCGCGUGGAGGAUGAAGGUCCUCUGGAUUGUAAACUUCUUUUAUCUGGGAAGAAAUCCAUAUUUUCUAAUGUGGUUGACGGUACCAGAUGAAUAAGCACCGGCUAACUCCGUGCCAGCAGCCGCGGUAAUACGGAGGGUGCAAGCGUUAUCCGGAUUCACUGGGUUUAAAGGGUGCGUAGGUGGGCAGGUAAGUCAGUGGUGAAAUCUCCGGGCUUAACUCGGAAACUGCCGUUGAUACUAUCUGUCUUGAAUAUCGUGGAGGUUAGCGGAAUAUGUCAUGUAGCGGUGAAAUGCUUAGAUAUGACAUUAGAACACCCAUUGCGAAGGCAGCUAACUACACGAUCAUUGACACUGAGGCACGAAAGCGUGGGGAGCAAAACA